GAACGUAAGGCUUAGUUGGUCAGAGCCUUGGACGGUUUUCAAGAGGCGUGAGUUCAAAUCCCACUACGUUCA
rnacentral:tRNA from 1 species